ACUGGGCGUUAAGUUGCAGGGUAUAGACCCGAAACCCGGUGAUCUAGCCAUGGGCAGGUUGAAGGUUGGGUAACACUAACUGGAGGACCGAACCGACUAAUGUUGAAAAAUUAGCGGAUGACUUGUGGCUGGGGGUGAAAGGCCAAUCAAACCGGGAGAUAGCUGGUUCUCCCCGAAAGCUAUUUAGGUAGCGCCUCGUGAAUUCAUCUCCGGGGGUAGAGCACUGUUUCGGCAAGGGGGUCAUCCCGACUUACCAACCCGAUGCAAACUGCGAAUACCGGAGAAUGUUAUCACGGGAGACACACGGCGGGUGCUAACGUCCGUCGUGAAGAGGGAAACAACCCAGACCGCCAGCUAAGGUCCCAAAGUCAUGGUUAAGUGGGAAACGAUGUGGGAAGGCCCAGACAGCCAGGAUGUUGGCUUAGAAGCAGCCAUCAUUUAAAGAAAGCGUAAUAGCUCACUGGUCGAGUCGGCCUGCGCGGAAGAUGUAACGGGGCUAAACCAUGCACCGAAGCUGCGGCAGCGACGCUGAUGCGUUGUUGGGUAGGGGAGCGUUCUGUAAGCCUGUGAAGGUGUGCUGUGAGGCAUGCUGGAGGUAUCAGAAGUGCGAAUGCUGACAUAAGUAACGAUAAAGCGGGUGAAAAGCCCGCUCGCCGGAAGACCAAGGGUUCCUGUCCAACGUUAAUCGGGGCAGGGUGAGUCGACCCCUAAGGCGAGGCCGAAAGGCGUAGUCGAUGGGAAACAGGUUAAUAUUCCUGUACUUGGUGUUACUGCGAAGGGGGGACGGAGAAGGCUAUGUUGGCCGGGCGACGGUUGUCCCGGUUUAAGCGUGUAGGCUGGUUUUCCAGGCAAAUCCGGAAAACUAAGGCUGAGGCGUGAUGACGAGGCACUACGGUGCUGAAGCAACAAAUGCCCUGCUUCCAGGAAAAGCCUCUAAGCAUCAGGUAACAUCAAAUCGUACCCCAAACCGACACAGGUGGUCAGGUAGAGAAUACCAAGGCGCUUGAGAGAACUCGGGUGAAGGAACUAGGCAAAAUGGUGCCGUAACUUCGGGAGAAGGCACGCUGAUAUGUAGGUGAAGUCCCUCGCGGAUGGAGCUGAAAUCAGUCGAAGAUACCAGCUGGCUGCAACUGUUUAUUAAAAACACAGCACUGUGCAAACACGAAAGUGGACGUAUACGGUGUGACGCCUGCCCGGUGCCGGAAGGUUAAUUGAUGGGGUCAGCGCAAGCGAAGCUCUUGAUCGAAGCCCCGGUAAACGGCGGCCGUAACUAUAACGGUCCUAAGGUAGCGAAAUUCCUUGUCGGGUAAGUUCCGACCUGCACGAAUGGCGUAAUGAUGGCCAGGCUGUCUCCACCCGAGACUCAGUGAAAUUGAACUCGCUGUGAAGAUGCAGUGUACCCGCGGCAAGACGGAAAGACCCCGUGAACCUUUACUAUAGCUUGACACUGAACAUUGAGCCUUGAUGUGUAGGAUAGGUGGGAGGCUUUGAAGUGUGGACGCCAGUCUGCAUGGAGCCGACCUUGAAAUACCACCCUUUAAUGUUUGAUGUUCUAACGUUGACCCGUAAUCCGGGUUGCGGACAGUGUCUGGUGGGUAGUUUGACUGGGGCGGUCUCCUCCUAAAGAGUAACGGAGGAGCACGAAGGUUGGCUAAUCCUGGUCGGACAUCAGGAGGUUAGUGCAAUGGCAUAAGCCAGCUUGACUGCGAGCGUGACGGCGCGAGCAGGUGCGAAAGCAGGUCAUAGUGAUCCGGUGGUUCUGAAUGGAAGGGCCAUCGCUCAACGGAUAAAAGGUACUCCGGGGAUAACAGGCUGAUACCGCCCAAGAGUUCAUAUCGACGGCGGUGUUUGGCACCUCGAUGUCGGCUCAUCACAUCCUGGGGCUGAAGUAGGUCCCAAGGGUAUGGCUGUUCGCCAUUUAAAGUGGUACGCGAGCUGGGUUUAGAACGUCGUGAGACAGUUCGGUCCCUAUCUGCCGUGGGCGCUGGAGAACUGAGGGGGGCUGCUCCUAGUACGAGAGGACCGGAGUGGACGCAUCACUGGUGUUCGGGUUGUCAUGCCAAUGGCACUGCCCGGUAGCUAAAUGCGGAAGAGAUAAGUGCUGAAAGCAUCUAAGCACGAAACUUGCCCCGAGAUGAGUUCUCCCUGACUCCUUGAGAGUCCUGAAGGAACGUUGAAG
rnacentral:rRNA from 1 species